UGCCCUUGACCCAUGGCAGAGCUAGAGCCACGAAGGAUUCGGUUUUGGCGACAUCUCAGAGAUCGUCCAAUGCUUUCAAAAGGGCAGCUGGGCAACCCACAGCGGUUACGCGACUUGCUCGGCGUCCUGGAAGUUCAAGAUGGGGAAACUGAGGCUUGGAAAGCUUAACAUCAUCCGUCCAAAGGCCACCCAAGUUGAAGCCGCUCUUGGGGAAUUCAGACCAUUUCUGCUGUUCAGGGCCACGUGAGGGUCCCCAGAUUCCUCAACAGUGAUGCUGCCUUCACACCUUCUUUUGUACUUUUCCCACCACUUCUGGAAACGCACUUAAAUAAGCUGGAGCUGCACCGAGACUUUAUCAGAAGAAAGAGGAGCAGCUCGUGGAGCAUAAGGGAUCACAGGCGAGAUUGGAACGGGACGCUGUAAAGCCUGGAACUGGACUCUGUAAGGACUGGAACUGGAUGCUGUAAAGGCUUGAACUGGACGCUAUAAAGCCUGGAACUGGACUCUCUAAAGCUAUCAGCAACCGAAGCAUCUACUCGUUCUGUCUCUUACUGCGAGAUGUAGAGUUUCUGCUGAUUAUCGUGAGUCUGCUCCCUCUUCUCUCACUUUCUGUAGCUCUGCUUAGUUCACUUUAUCCACAUGGCAGAAGUGUCCACCUCAUCUAUAAGGCCUACCAGACCAAGAACUCAAGGAAAGCUUGAUCGGCCUGAGUUCUAAUUUCAUAUUCACAGAAAAGAGUAUCUGCAAAGCUUUCGUCAGGCAUCCACAUCUGGUCCAGUUAGCUGUGGUCACGCGGGCGGGGCACAUGGCCUGUUGGCCGCCCAGCAAGGCUGACUCUCAGAGACACAGCUGCAGGCAGGCAAGGUUGGAAAGGCCUCCGCUACUCCUAGUUUUCUAGGAAAUAUUGUGUUUCAGGAUUAAUCAAGGGGAAUUCCUUGGGCUUGGAAUUUGAUGGCCUAUUAAAUACCACAAAAUUCUUACUUGAUUUUCUGAUUAUGUUUUUAUCUUGAUGGCCAUCUUUUUAUAAAUUUUCUUAAAAUAUGUUUGUAAUUGAACCCGAUCCUUCUACUCUGUUUUGAAGAAAGCAGAGUAUAGUCUUUAUUCUUAUCAUAGAUAUUGUCUCCAGGAACUUUCCCAUAUUUCUGGGUAUAGACAAUAUAAGUUGAUAUCCUUGUGGGUAAUGUGGACCUUUUAUUCAUGGGCAACUUUUGCAAAGAGGCUCCAAAGGUGAGAAAUGCAAGUGGAAGGGAAAAUUCAGCUGAAAGAAUGGAGGAUGGAGAAUUCAUGAGGACCAAAGUCAGAAGGAUACGAAGAAUGUAAAAUCUGCAAGUGUAUUUAGCCAAGCCACAUGGAGGGAAUUGUUUUAACCACUGAACUUUGAUCAGAUUCCCCAAAACAGGCAUUUCUCCUCACUUUCUUUCUUUCCUUCUCUUUAUGUCCCUCUCUCCUCUGAUUUUCUUGAAGUGUUAAAAGAAUGUUGCUAGUUCCUUUCUUAACUUCUUUACGGAGCUAAUUACAAAAACAGAAAUAAGAGGAAAGUACACUUUGACCAUUUGUUAAAAAAAAAAUUAUGGUUUAUACAAAUAGCUGGAGUUUUCCAGAUAUGGAAUAGACCUUUCCAGUGCCUUGGUGAAUCCAUUUGCAGAAAGAUUCGAGGAAAGCUCUAAAUACAGUCAGUGCCAGUUCUUGCAGGAGGUGUGGGAGUUUGUUUCUCUACAUCUCCAACAAGGGUGGGUGCCUUCGGGAAGUUGCCUCAAUAAUGAGAUUUGAGCACACUUUCUGAUGGACUUUAUUCCCCCGAUAGGGCAUGAGUUUGAUAGACGUCUUCUCUAUCACAUGUUGUUUCCCUUCCAAGAAAGCAUGAGUUAUCUGGACUUUUUUCCCCUAAAUUACAUGGAAAGAUAGAAAAGAGGGAGGGAGGAAGCAGAGAGGGAAAAGAGAGUAUUUUAAAAGCUAAAACCAACAUCAAACCUUACUAAGGCAGAGGUUGAUUGUUAAAUAAAAUAACGCCAUUAAUGGGUAGUCAGAGUGGUUCUAAACAGAGCAACACAUGUGAAUUUUGCACGUCUCUAAACCACAUUUAAUAGUGCUUGUAGACAAAAAAUACAAUCACAAGUCAAGUCUAUGCUAAAGAAAGCAUUAAAGAUCAUUAGGAUACAUUUAAUAUUAAAAGACUUUGCUUCUGUCUUAAAAA